AUUGAACGCUGGCGGCAUGCUUUACACAUGCAAGUCGAACGGUAACAGGCCGCAAGGUGCUGACGAGUGGCGAACGGGUGAGUAAUGCAUCGGAACGUGCCCAGUCGUGGGGGAUAACUACUCGAAAGAGUAGCUAAUACCGCAUACGAUCUAUGGAUGAAAGCGGGGGACCGUAAGGCCUCGCGCGAUUGGAGCGGCCGAUGUCAGAUCAGGUAGUUGGUGGGGUAAAGGCUCACCAAGCCAACGAUCUGUAGCUGAUCUGAGAGGACGACCAGCCACACUGGGACUGAGACACGGCCCAGACUCCUACGGGAGGCAGCAGUGGGGAAUUUUGGACAAUGGGCGCAAGCCUGAUCCAGCAAUGCCGCGUGCAGGAAGAAGGCCUUCGGGUUGUAAACUGCUUUUGUACGGAACGAAACGGCUCUGGUUAAUACCCGGGGCUAAUGACGGUACCGUAAGAAUAAGCACCGGCUAACUACGUG
rnacentral:rRNA from 1 species